AAUGCAUAAAAUACAUACAAACCGGUCCACCAGUUUGAAUGUGACUACGCAAAUUUUGGACUUUUGUAUUGUCAAAGUGCAUUUGAUAACUGCUCCCAUUCAUGAGUGGAAUUAGCAGUUUGUUAGUGAAUACAGAUUCUUCAAAUCAAAGUGGCCACAAUUAGAAAAACAUUGUUAUUAAGUAAACAACAAGCUUCACUUAUAUAAGAUUAAUGCAGGACAGCAGGAUGCACAUUGGCCAUAUAAAAUCAUGCAUGACAUGUCCACUGUUUGUAUGGAACUGCAUAUCUUUCUUUCGGUAGUGAUAGAUAAAAAUAAGAUAAGAUAGUUUGAAAGUAAGUUGACCCUACGCAACAAACACUGUGACUCACCCAACCAAAACCCACCCGGUCUUCUUAACAUGGUAAUUGAGACAAAGUCGGACUUCAACCAGUGCGGAAUGAUAAGGAAAGGAAGCCGAAUUUGUAAAAGUGGUUUACCAAAUGUCGAGUUUUGCCCAUGGAAAAACCCACAGCAUUUUACAUGCACACUAAUGCACAGUCGGA